rnacentral:rRNA from 1 species
AUUGAACGCUGGCGGCAGGCCUAACACAUGCAAGUCGAGCGGAUGAAGGGAGCUUGCUCCUGGAUUCAGCGGCGGACGGGUGAGUAAUGCCUAGGAAUCUGCCUGGUAGUGGGGGAUAACGUCCGGAAACGGGCGCUAAUACCGCAUACGUCCUGAGGGAGAAAGUGGGAGAUCUUCGGACCUCACGCUAUCAGAUGAGCCUAGGUCGGAUUAGCUAGUUGGUGGGGUAAAGGCCUACCAAGGCGACGAUCCGUAACUGGUCUGAGAGGAUGAUCAGUCACACUGGAACUGAGACACGGUCCAGACUCCUACGGGAGGCAGCAGUGGGGAAUAUUGGACAAAGGGCGAAAGCCUGAUCCAGCCAUGCCGCGUGUGUGAAGAAGGUCUUCGGAUUGUAAAGCACUUUAAGUUGGGAGGAAGGGCAGUAAGUUAAUACCUUGCUGUUUUGACGUUACCAACAGAAUAAGCACCGGCUAACUUCGUG